GGUCAGAUAUUUUUGUGUGGGCCCUAUGGCUAUGCUAUCAAGUCUUGUUCAUGUUUGGCAAGAUCUACCGGUAUGUAGGUAGACUAUAGUUUCAUCAUUAAUAUGGUGGAUCAAGUGAAGAGUGUGAGCUAGAGAACUUGGUGCUGCCAUCAUCAGCUCGUCGACAAUGACACUAACCUGUUUAAUACGAGAAAUUUAAUAUGUAUAGAUCUACACGUAUUUAAAAUGUCUACUUCUCUGUACAGGAGCAAUGGCUAAUAUCCAGCUAUCCCAACAGUGCUCCUCUUGGCUAUACUAACGGACGAGACUGGACAGUUUGAGGACUGGAGUAUGACCUGCUCAUUCGAGUGUUGCUGGGUAGCUCAGAGACAUCAAGAGAAUCUACGUUUUCUCAAGCAAAAUUUAACUGAGUUACGAGUUGGGGCCUAGAAUCAGAGAAGUCCAGCAGCCUGCUAAAUCUUUUUGAAACGUAAUUUGAAGGCAUUCAAUCAUCCUGAAGUUGCCCUGGGUCACUGUAAUUGUGCUGCAGCACAACUGGCAACUCCCCAGGCCUUUGUGAAGCAGCUCCCUAUGUGCAUCUUUUGUGUACUCACUCUGUGCAUUUUCUGUGUACAAAUUUCGAUUAUUGAUUUAUUAAAUAUUUUUGCCAACCACAAA